AUUAGAGUUUGAUCAUGGCUCAGAACGAACGCUGGCGGCAGGCCUAACACAUGCAAGUCGAGCGCGCCCUUCGGGGUGAGCGGCGGACGGGUGAGUAACGCGUGGGAACGUGCCCUUUGCUACGGAAUAGUCUCGGGAAACUGGGGGUAAUACCGUAUGAGCCCUUCGGGGGAAAGAUUUAUCGGCAAAGGAUCGGCCCGCGUUGGAUUAGGUAGUUGGUGGGGUAAUGGCCCACCAAGCCGACGAUCCAUAGCUGGUUUGAGAGGAUGAUCAGCCACACUGGGACUGAGACACGGCCCAGACUCCUACGGGAGGCAGCAGUGGGGAAUCUUAGACAAUGGGCGCAAGCCUGAUCUAGCCAUGCCGCGUGAGCGAUGAAGGCCUUAGGGUUGUAAAGCUCUUUCGUGGGGGAAGAUAAUGACUGUACCCCAAGAAGAAGCCCCGGCUAACUCCGUGCCAGCAGCCGCGGUAAUAAU
rnacentral:rRNA from 1 species